AGGUGAAAAACCAAAAGGAAUCUUAGCCAUGGCCCACCUCCCUACGGGCCAUGGCCCCUCUCUUCGCACAUAUCUUAGCUGCAACAGGACGGCAGCACCUGCUUGCCUGCCGACAAUCAUGGCUUUCAAUUUUGUUGUACCUUUGUGUUUUUGGAAGUUCCAGUUUUUUUGUUAAUAAUUAAUAAAGUAAAUAUUUAGAUAUAAUAUAAUACAUAAAUUUCUCGAAAUUAACAAAUUUUAGUUUCACUCAAUAACCUACGGACUUUUUUUCUUAAAACCUUGUCGAGAACCAGAUGACACACAAACAUUGGCACGUGUCAGUUUGGCGCGUGCGUGGGCAGGUCAUUGUCAAUCACUGCUGGCAAUUUUCUAUGACUUCGUAAGAAGGCAACAAAUUGGUCCAUGCAUCGAUCGCUGAUACUCUUAUCUCCAAAUAGUGUUGCCAUCUGCUGCUUGGCAUUUUCUCUAUAUGCGGACCCUUCCUUGUCAACAAUAACCAACCUGAGUGACUCAGCUACCGAGUUCCUCGUAAACGACCCGUCCUGCUCAUCUCUCGGCACUUCUAUCCCAACCUUCUUCCCUUCAAAAACCCUUGCGAUUAAUCCUUGGUCUAUAGCGAAUGGCAACAUGAUCAAAGCAAGUCCAAAGGAGAGUGCCUCUAUAACUGAGCUGUAACCGCAGUGAGUCAAAAAACCCCCAACCGAUUCGUGAGCCAUAAUCCUUAGUUGUGGUGCCCAGCUCGUCCACACCACUCCACGUCCUUUUACUCGUUCCUCAAAUCCAUCUGGUAACCUGACCGAGUCAUCCCGGUUCCUAAAAGCCCAAAAGAACGGCAGACCUGAUAACUCUAACCCGAGAGCCAAUUCAGUUAUUUCAUCUUGAUUCAUUGUUAACUCGCUUCCAAACGCUAUGUAAACCACAGAUCCUUGGGUUUGCUUGUCUAGCCACUCACUGAUCGUACCCCACUUUUCAUCCACCCCGCCAUCGCUAAACUGAGCAGGUGGUGGCAGUAGGCCUACUGGGAUUACAGGCUUACAGUGAAGGUCUUCCACGAGUCUUAAGAAAUCAGCCUCUAGCUCUAAGCAGCUCCUUACGGCUAUAACAUCACAGCCAGCAAGCACGGAUCCCCAACGAAACAUAUCAGUGACACCUGAACUGUUCAUUUCUAUUUGAUCCAAAAACCGCUUAGCUUCAUGGAUGCGAAAUGCAACUUUGGAGGGAAAUGUGACCCACUUUGGAGGGACCGUGAAGUGCUGCGGUUCGGUCCUUGGAUCGUCGCCGUUGAGAAUUGCUGGGUAUGAUGGUCCGGCGAAGGAUAUGGUCCAUGCACCAAAAAUGCUAAAGAGAACACCAGAGAUCCCAAGCUUGGUCGCUAUCUCAGGCAACCAGUAGGGAAUGAAAUCAAAGAUGAUCCAAUCUGGAGAAGAAGAAUGUAAGAAGUGAAAUAGAGAAUCUUGGAGUCUGUCAUAGGCUUCCUUUAGGAAUGGAAUUUUGUCGAAAGGCAAGUCUGCGGUGGCCUCUGCGUUGUUUGGGAGAUUUUCUACAUGGGGUAAAGCGAGGCUCACUAAAUUGAUUCGUGGUGUUAAAUUUGGAGGUAUAGAUGGUAAACGCUGGAUGUUUCGUGGAGUGGAUAUAAAGGAGAUCUUGUGACCCCUUUCAGCUAUUAGCUUGGCGAGCUCUAGAAAUGGGAUUAUAUGACCGAAAGCAAGCCAUGGGAACAUGGCUAUGUGGAGCUCGUCAGGCUCAUCCAUCGAUACUUCCUGAUCUAAAUGCUUUUGUGGCUUUAGCUUCUUAUCCUGUUUUCCAUGUAUAUAUAUACUCAGGUAAGACCCGCGAGCUAACUUUUUAUUUUUAUAAAAACUAUUAAAAGUAUAUUAAAUUUAAUACUAUAACGCAUAAUACUGAUAAUAAUAUUUAAUUUGUUUGUCUAAAUUUUUAUAUUUUUUAAUCUUUUAAAAAAUUUAUAUUUUUCUUUGAUAAUAAUAAUAUUUUUUUAAUUUAUUAAUAAUAAUAAUAAUAAUUUUACCUAUCAAAUAAAAUUUAUGUUUGUUUUUCAAUGUUGAUAAUAGCUUUUUUAAAAUUUAUUAAUUAUUCUAUUACCAAUAAUAUUUAAAAAUCUAAAACUCAUGAACCUUAAGUAUUAACACAGGAUCCCGAAGCUUUGGUUCAAGCAGGGCUACAGUGCCCAAAUGAUUUGGACAACAACAACAAUAGUAAUUGAUUUUACUCUUCGAAUUAUUUUUAUGUUUUUUUAUAGUAAUAAUAUUUAUUUUAAAUUUUAUAAUAUUAAUAAUAAUAUUAAACUCGCCUUAUUCAAGUUCUUAUUAUUUUUAAUUCAUUCAAAUAAAAUUUAUGAUUUUUUUUCGAUAGCAACAAUAUUUUUUCAAAUUUAUAAAUGAUGAUGAUAGUGAUAAUUUUUAAUUUCAUGCUUCAAAUCAAAUCUAUGAUUUUUUUUAGUGAUAAUAUUUUAUUUCAAAUUUACCAGGGAUAAUAAUAACAACAACAACAAUAAUAAUUUAUAAUUUUACCCUUCAAAUUAAAUUUAUAGUUGUUUUUCGAUAUUAAUAAUAUUUUUUCAAACUUAUUCAUUAUUAUAUUUGUGAUAUUAAGUAUAAUAAAAAAUAAUAACAUUACAAUACAAAAAUAAUAUUUAUCAUAUUAAUAAUAUUAUUAAAUUUGUCUGGUCCAAGUUUUUAUAGUUGUAAAUUCUUUAAAAAAUAUUUACUAAUAUUAUAACAUUAAUAAAAGUACUUAACUUGUGUGCCUAAGUUGUAUUUUUUAAUUUUUUAAAAAAAAAUUAUGUUUUUUUUGUAGUAAUAAUGUUUUUUUGAAUUUAAUGAUGAUGAUGAUUUUUAAUUUUACCUUCAAAUGAAAUCUAUUUUUUAAACAUUAAUAAUAUUUUUUUUAGAUUUAAAAAUUAUUAUAUUAAUAUUUUUAACUAUAAUACAAAUAAUUAUAUUUAUAAAUUUAAGAUCCAAGAACCUUAGGUUCUAACGCAGGACCGAUUAGCCUUGAGUCAUGAUGCCGGAUCCAGAGCCUUGAGUCAAGCAGUGCUGCAUGACCCAAGUUACGUGGAUCGCGCUCAUGCCACAUCCAAGUAACAUGGAUAAGACACCCAUUUCCAGCAACAAGUUUAAUGGUUUGGAAGAGGAUAUCCGAUCCAAGUUAAUAAUAAUAAUAAUAAUAAGAUGAAGAAGAAAAAUAAUAAGAAUAACAAUUAAUUUUACCCUUAAAAUAAAAUCUAUGUUUUUUUAUAGUUAUAAUAUUUAUUUUAAAUUUAAUAAUUUUUAACUUAUCUGCCAAAGUUUUAUAUUUUUUAAUUUUUUUAAAAAAUAUUUAUGGUUUUUCUUUGAUGAUAAUAAUAAUUUGUUUUUAAAUUUAUCAAUAACGACAAUGACAAUAACAUUAACAAUAAUUUUUAAUUUUACCAUUAAAAUCAAAUCUAUUAUUAUUUUUAAAUAUUAAUCAUAUGUUUUACAAAUUUAUUAAUUAUUAUGUUUUUAUAUGAAAAUCAAUGAUCUCAUUAAUACCUGGUAUAGUACUAUCCUCGCAUUAUUAUGAUGAUGAUGCUUGAGACAACAACCACUCCAUUCAUCACAAUUAAUGAACAGUGAGGCACACUAUUAUAACUUUUAAUGAAAAAUCUAGAAUUGUUUAUCAAACAUAAAUAAUUAAUAAUUUUAAAAGGUGUAGUUUAAACUAGUAGAUUUUAAAUAUAUUUUUUUAAAAAAUAUUAAUUUGAAUCUUGUCAAUUUUAGAGUUAUUAGAGGCUUAUAAUGUUGUUAGAUCUAGAACUCAUAAGAUUAGUUGAGAUAUAUACUCAAAUAUUUACAUUGAUGACAUGGAUGGAAAUAAUAAUUAUGCAUAACAAAACAAUAAACUUAUCUGCACUCAGAAAAAUCUGGUUUUAAUUUUUUAUUUAUUUGGAAUAGAGAGAGAGUAUGAUGCACUGCUUAUUUGGAAUAGAAAAAUCUGCUUAUUUUAAUUGUAUGAUGCAGUGCUUACAAAGAGUUAGAAGUUCCAUGGAAAAGGAUUCUCCUUUCAUCGUAAAACAAUAAGAUUUUCAAUUUAUUUAUUAAAUCAGAUGAAGAUAAUGCUUCACGUUUAUUUAAAGAUUAUUUUAUUUUUCUAAAAAAUUAUCACAAUCUGUUUUAUAACUUUAAAAAACAAAUUAAAAUUUGUGUGCCAUAAUUAAAGUUCCUAAUGGCCGCUAGCUAUUGGGAUGGCCGGCUUGAAGUCUUGAAGACAAGGGCUCAAUUUUCAGCAUAAGCGCUCGACUACUCGUCGUGUAGCCCAGAAACAAAAGGCCCAAGGAUGGUCUGGAUAUGGGACCGCCAGAAGCCCAAAACUAAGGGGGUGCCAAAUUCGAAACGCCACCUUUUAUCUUCUGCAGAAAACAAGAGGUUCAUUCAUCUACGGUCUAAAUAAGAGAUUGUGUUAAUCUUGAUUCUCAAAAGUAUUUUUUAUUUGAAAUUAUAUUAAAAUAAUAUAUAUAUAUAUAUAUUAUUUUUUUUGAAAUUAUUUUUAACAUCAACACAAUACAAAAUUUUAAAAUAUAAAAAUAUUUCGAAAGCAUUUUCAAUUGCAAAACAAACAUACCAGCGUUCCCCAGAUUAUACUCAGUCAGAUUGGAGGACAACAGUUUUCAAUGAAUAAUUUGAGAGCCUACAGCACGAGUAACAUUCACUUUGAAGGGAAUGAGCGUGUCUCAAGAUGGUGAAUUAUGCUUUCAAAAAGACGGUGAGCGCAGUCGGUUAACCAUCUCCUUACAUACUAGUAUGCGCUCCACGGAGAAUUAAUAAUUUUUUUUAAAAAUAUAAAAAAUACAAAAAAUAUUUUAAUUGUAUUAGAUUUGGCCAUGAACCAGCCACUAGCUUUUAACAUAAAAAAAAAAAAAAGAUAAUACCCUUGUAACAUUACAAUAUGCUUCAUAGUAUUUAUUUUAUAUAGUAUUUUUUCCAUGUAUUUUAAAAUAUAAUAUAAUAUGUGUAUGUUAAUUUAUCUUUAUAUUAAUUUGGUUUACAGGUAGUUUUAUAUUUGUAUAUUGGACAAUUUCUUUGAGCUAUACCAAGUUUUAAAUGUCAAAUAACUAUCUUAAUCCAAUAAUUUAAACUAUUAUGUGAGAUUCAAAGAUAUUAUUUAUAUUAUUCUCUAAUAUACCUUCUUAAGUAAAAGGGUUUGAAACUUACAUAGAUCUACAUUACCUUGUAUUUAAUUUUUAUCAAAUAUAUGAGAAUAGUGAGAUUCAAACUCGUGACUGCUUGAUCAUCAAGACUCUGAUACCAUGUCAAAUAACCAUCUUUAUCUAAUAAUUUAAACUGUUAAAUGAGAUUCAAAAAUAUAAUUUAUAUUAUUUACCAACACUAAAUUCUUAUAUUUUGACAUAUUCUUCAACAUGUUUUUUUGUUAUUUUUCUUUGAAAUGUCCUUCCAUAUAGUAAUUUUAAAACCAACUGGAAACACACCGAGUAUUUUUUUAUUAGAAAAACUAUUUUAUCAAUAUACAAAAAAAAAUACAAGUACAUUUUAAUUUUGGAUAAUGAAAAUGAAAGUUAGAGCCAAAUUAAAAGGAAAAAACCUCAAAAACUAUAACAAUAUAUAAUAUUUGAAGUUGUCAAUGUUCUUAUCUAUUUUAUAUAAUUCUAAAUUAACCUUCAUAUUUUGAAAAAUCAGUCUAAUUAUAAUAAUUAUUCCUAUAAUAAUUAUUUUUAUAACAAUUUAUCUUUAUUUUAUUUAUCAUGUCCCUCUGACCAAAAAAUAAUAUUGAAGUCCAGUAAAAAAAAAAGAAACAUUUUGUGAGCUAUAAAAAAAUACCAGUUAUUAGAAAAAAGAAGAAGAAGCUGACACCGAAUUGUUUUUUUUUUUGAUCGAAAUGUAAGUAGCUGACACCGAAUUUUGCACUGCCAUGUAACGGCAUUUCAGAUAGCGGAAGAAAAUGCCCGCUCCCCUCAAAUAUCCGGUCAGCAACGUUUGCGGUGGCAUCCAACGUAAUAUUUACUACCAUAUAUAUGCAAAGAAACACUAAAAUGUCGGGGAUCAAGAGCUUGAUUUAUAUAUAUAUAUAUAUAAUCCUUAUUUUAGACUCAUAUCUAAAUAUAAUCAUUCUAAUGGCAUCCCAAAUCUAUAAAUUUAUUUUAUUAAAAUCCUAACAUCUCAUAUAUUUCUCAAUUGAAUCUUUUAUUUUUUUUUUUUAAUAUUUUAAAUCUAUUUCCGCACCAAAAUGUAUUGAUUUGAAUAAAAAUUAUAGAAAAGUUAUUGAAACGAAUAAUUUAUAUAUUGAAACGAUAUCAAUUUGAAAUAAAAAUGAUGAGAGUUUUUUUUUUAUGAACAUUAAUAAAAGGACUUUAUGCCUUGUUUGUUUUCAGGAAUUCAUUUUCCUGUAAACUACUUUCCCCACUUUUCCAUGUUUGGCAAGCAUUUGGAAAAUUGGUCAAAGGAAACUGAAUUCCAGUCAACAGAAAAAUUAAAACGUUAAAUGAGAAAGUGUUUUCCUUUCUUUAUUUUAAGGAAAACACUUUUUUUUUCUUUACUAACAAAAACUGUUCUCUGUCUCUAAAAAACAAAACUCCUAAAGACUUUUUCUCUCCCAAUAAUUUACGCAGUUGCAAGCAUCUCAUCUUCCAGAUAAGAGACUAUUAGGUACCAUUAAAUAGGAGUUUGCUCACUCCAGAUCUGAAAGGAGGUGAUACUAAACCACUUCUGCUACUUCAUGAAUACCCAUGGGUGUGCGCGUAGCCAAGGUGAGCUGCGCAGGCUAUAGGUCUGCAUGUGCUAGGAGAUGUGGUUGCCUUGAUCUUUUUGGUCUUGGGGUGAAGGGAGCUCCUAUGGACUUCCUAGCAGCCUUCAUUACUCUUUCUAGAAUGCAAAUUGCUUUAUUUCAUUUUAGUUGUUUUUUGCUUUUUCUGGGAUCAUCGGAUCAAGGAAUAUAUAGCAGCAAUUAAAAGUAAAUUGACAAUUCUCCACAAAAUCUUCCACGCGAUAUUAGGUAUCUGUGGGCGCUGUUGCAUGAAAUGCUUGAUUUCUCUCUCUCUCUCUGUUUUUUUUUUGAUGGACCAGAUAUAAGAUGAUUUCAGGUCUUUUACUUGGAUGAGCCUUGGAGGACGGUGGACCAGCUGGUGGUUUUUGUGGAUAGCGGCGAGCUUUAAGAAUAUAUCAUCAAUUCGCGGGAGAUGAGAACAAUAAUUAGGGAACAUUUUGUUAAACAUCCUUUUCAAUUGCAAAUUUAGCUCUAUGGACUCCUGUUUUCUCCUGAAAGAUAUUUUUCUCACAGUGAGGGAUAAGUGGUGUGUGUGUGAAAAAGAAAUGCAAAAAACAUAUUUCUAUUUCUCUUGGGUCAAUCUGUUUUCUUUUUAAUGGCAAACCUUGUAUGUAUAUUUUGAUGAUACAUGAAAAAUGUGUACAUAUUUUUAUAAAUAUAGUACAUAUUUAUAAAUUAUUUAUAUUAAAUAUUUUAGAUAUUUUCUAGAUAUAUUUUGUGAUAUUUAUAUUUACAAAUCUAUAAAAAAUUAUCCUUUUAUAAACAUAAAAGAGCUAAAGUUUAUCAUAGACUUCAAAUCUAACACAAUAAAAAUUUAAUACAAGAUUUAAAUAAAAUUGCCUUUACCCGUAUAAAAAAAAAUAUUUAUCCAAAAAACCCAUAAAAAUAUUUUUGUAUGUAUUUAUCUUUUAAAAAAUUCUUUAUACUAAAAAAAAAACCCAAAUAAUAAAAAAAAAUUCAUCAUUAUACUUUUUAGAUUUCAUUUUUUUUUAUUGUAAGUGAUUAAAUAUUUUAUAUUAAAUAUUUUAUAAAUAUUAGAUAAACUUGAAAAAAAAUUAAUUCAUUAAUAAAUUAUUUUCCAGUUCAUUUUCCAUAACACAACCAAACACUGGAAAGUGUUUUCCAGUUCAUUUUCCAUAACACUACCAAACAUCGGAAAAUACUUUCCCGGAAUUUACUUUCCAGGAAUUCACUUUCCUCGGAAUUUACUUUUCAAAAGGAAACCACUUUCCUGCAAACAAACGGAGCCUUACUGAGAAUUUGUUUUCAAAUGUUCGGGAUCAAAUUGAUAAAAUCAACAAGUUUGGGACUCCAUAGAUAAUGGGUAUAUAGAUUAGGAACCAAACAGACUAGAGGUUUUUUUUAUUGAGAGAAAUUGAAGUGACGUCUCCUAGGAUUGCAUGGUUUCAGCGUUGCUUGUAAAAGUUCCUCACCUCCACUUUACAUUAUCUUGUCCCGUUAACAAAUCAAAUACUGCCACGUGUUCUUCUUCCUUCCUAUUCGUUAAUUACUCGCUCAGGAUUCCUGCCCAUAAAUCUACUCCUCCCUCGCCUAAAUAUUUCUCCUUCCCCUCUCUUUCCUUAACGAAAACGUUGAAGGAGAGCUUUUCUUUGCUUCAAUCCUUCACUUUGUUGAUAAAUUAAGCUUCUUUUUAUAGAAAACAAAUCUUAAAUUGAAAAUGGGAAAUGCCUUGAGGUUCCUCUAUGGGCAUUGCUGCAAACCAACAACAGCUGGGGACUCUGAUUCAUUGGGACCCCACGGUGUAUCAGCCGCAACAGUUGGUGUUUCAGCUCUUGCCCGUGAUUUGUUUCACUUUGAAAUCACCUCUCAGGUAUUCUUUCUUGCUCUGAAUUUAAACUUCUCUCAUUUUUUGGCUGUUUGUGGCAACGUUUGACUCUGCUUAUGGUACAAUUAAAUUCUUGGUCAUAGUCAAUCUGAGUGAUCAUGGAACUUUUUUGAGUUCAUGUUUUCUUUUUUAUCAUGUUAUGGUUUAGCAUAAUUUCAUGAUCUUCAGAGUUGAGUGUCUUCUGUUUUUUUGUUUUCUUAAGGUCCCAGAAGGACUUGAUAAGCAUGUGGUCUCAUCCAAGAAGGCUCAAGCUAAUUGGUAAUAAUUAUAAAGCAAUCUGUAAUUCUCUGUAAAGUUGCAAGCAUGUAGUGAUAUAUAGUUUAUCUGAAUUUUGGACUUUAAAAGGUAUAGAAAGUUGUUGGAGGCAUGGAAAGAAGCAAAACCCCCACCAGAAACACCCGAAGAAGUUGCUAGGCUUGUUAUUCAGACCUUGAAGAGACACCAAAAGGCAGAUGUUGAGGUACUAAUUGAAAACCAAUUUCAGCAUUAGACCUGUCGGAGUGCAGAAUGCUUACUACAUCGGGGUAGGUUUAAUGCAAAAUGAUCGUUCCUGUUUUUCCUUGCAGGGUUUAUUGGCUUUCUACGGUCUCCAACUUCCGCAUCCUCUUGCUCAAGUUUCUGCAGGGGGGCCAACAUCAUUGCCUCAAGGGGUCAAGUUCGAGAUGCAAACUUUACCAGUUAAUUAUUGCAAUAACCCUUUUGAUCAAACUUUAAAUUUAUUUACAGUCUAGUUAGUUUGAUGUGAUAAAACCAUUUGAAUUAAUUAACCCAGGUGGAUCCCAAAGCUGUAGCUGAUGGAGAUACCAUAACAGUUUAUGUUAGCACGACCGACACCAGGGAGUCAUCUUCUGUUCCAGGGGAAGUUCAUAUGGCCGCUGUUCAAAGAUCAAAAGCUCGCGCGGAGAGGAACUAUGGGAAGGCAGAUGCGCUUCAAAAAAAAAUUGUUGAAGCAGGAUAUCGGUUGGUUAUCUGAUUUCCCCUGUAUAAAUUUUGUUAAAUGAACCCUCGGGGUGACAAAUUCGUUUCAAAUAAUUCGUUUGCGUGCGCAGGGUAAUGAAUGUUCAAAAUGAGGAGAUUCUUGCUCGAAAGUAUCGCAUUCGAUUAAGGUGACAUCUGCUCCUUGUAGGAUUCGGUCCCUAAUUAGGCUUAUGUAUUGCAGAGGUUAAUGACUUUCGCCUGGAAAAAAUGCAGGGGCAUAGAUGCACCUGAGAGUUCAAUGCCAUAUGGGAAAGAGGCGAAAGAGGAGCUAGCUAAUCUUGUUCAGGGCAAGUGUUUGAGAGUCUUUGUCUAUGGAGAAGAUCGUUAUCGCCGCUGUGUAGGUGAUAUAUACUGCAAAUGGACUGUUUGUACAGGUGGUGCCCCCAUUUUCUUGAAUUGAUCUUUACAUGAUUUAUUAGUAGCGUACGAGUUUUCUAAAAUCUGUGUGUACCAGGAAGUGAUGCUCAAGAAGGGUCUUGCAUGGCAUUAUACUGCCUAUGAUAAACGCUUGGAACUAGAAACAGUAAGUAACCAUUGUUCUUUGCGAACUCCCGCACUAUAAAUUCUUCGCAGUCUUAAUUAUUGUAUGUAUCUUAUUAGUGGGAAAAGGAGGCUCGAGCAAAGCGUGUAGGGUUAUGGGCUUCAUCAAACCCUGAGAUGCCAUGGGAAUGGAGAAAGGACAGACGUGAAGGCAGAUAGCAUUGUCCUCAUUAACCCGUCCAGACAAGUGACCUUUUGUUCUUGUCUGCAUCGACCACGUAAGCAGGCAUAACCCAGACCGGGAUAUAUUAACCCAUAAGUUGCAUCAGCUCAGAAGGUGUCUGGAAAUUAUGCCCAAAUUAUACUUGAUACUAGAGUUUUUGUAAUUUAGAGUUGGAUUGAAAAUGCCAUUGAAGCCAGUAAACUUGAGGCUAAAAGCAGGGAAAUAUCGUGCGUGCUAAGCUAUAUAAUAAUCUCCGCACCUAGAUGCUAAAACCAUGAAUAUUUGAUGAUCAUUGCAUAUGUGGUGCAAUUCUGGACUAGCAAAAACUGUUGCAAUUCUUGAGUCAACCUCACGUUAAAAUCAAGAACAGGGGAAGGCACAAAAUCACUCUGUGUUUAUUGGAAUCGCUCCAAUGAAGGCUUUAUUCAAAGUCGUUAUAUGGCUAAGAAAAUAUCGUGUCUCUCUUCAUUACAUUCAGCCUUUAAAUAGUAAUCUAAACAAACUAUUUCCGAUUUUGACUAGGAAACUAAGAAAGCAAUAACAGACUAAAUCUCUAACUCUAACUAGGAAAAUAACAAAAUAAGAAAGUACUAUCAGGAAAGAAAUAGAAUUACAGCAGCUCUUUAAUGUGUUUGGUCACGGCACUACAGGGCCCCUUCUUCUGGAUUUGCAUCAAUUGCCAGCUCCCCUGAAGAACUUGACUCUGGCAAGUUAUGACAAAUGUACUCAGUAAAUAGCUGUGGAUGUAAACGUUGGAUUUCUGAAGCUUGCAGCCAAACGGAGUCCGAUUGUGGAUGAUUUCUCCAUUGUACCAGGAAUUUAUAAUAGCCUCCUCGACGAGUGGUAACAAAUUGAUGGUCAAGGAUGGCAGCAAUCUCAUCUCGUGGUGUUGUAGUUUCUGGGAGUCGUAAUUCUGGUGUUGCUGCUGGAACUGGUAAAGCCGUAACAUCAUCAAUAUUACCCUUGAAUUCUGUAAGAUCUUCAAUGUUAAAAAUGGGACUGAUACCGAAAUCAGAAGGUAAGUCAAUGACGUAGGCAUUAGAACCCAAUUUCUUGGUGACCUGAAAAGGGCCUACUCGUUGUGCAUGAAGCUUGGUAAAGCUUCCUGGAGGGAGACGUUCAGGUCGUAAGCGAACCAAAACCAUAUCACCUUGAGUAAAUUGUCGAUCUCUGCGUUUUGUGUUUGCCUUAGCUGCAUAAGAGUUUGUAUGGACAGUCAGGCGUCGCUUGCAUUCCUCGUGAAUAUCUUGCAUGUAGCUGGAAAAGUCUAGCGCAGCUUCACUUGGCCUCGGUGGUGAUGGUAAUGGAAUAAUAUCCAGUGGGGUGUUGGGUUGAAACCCAUAAACCACUUCAAAAGGGGUGCAGCCUGUUGAACGGUUAACAGAAUUGUUGAAGGCAAACUUGGCGUGUGGAAGCACCAUAUCCCAGCUGGUUACAUGAUAUGUGACGAGGCAGCGUAAUAAAUUUCCCAGGCUUCUAUUUGUUACCUCUGUCUGGCCGUCUAUUUGGGGAUGGAAGGCACUAGAGAACAUUAGCUUUGUCCCCAUUUUUGCCCACAAGGUUUUCCAGAAAUAGCUCACAAACUUGACGUCCCUGUCAGAUACAAUUGAUAUUGGAAUACCAUGCAAACGAAUGAUCUCCUGUAGGAAUAAGGUAGCCACUUUUGAUGCAUCAUACGUUCUGUGGCAGGGAAUAAAGUCAGCCAUUUUGGAGAAACGAUCGACGACCACCAUAAUUGAGUCAUGUUGUCGCAAUGUUUUUGGCAGUCCCAGGACAAAGUCCAUGCUCAGGUUUUGCCAUGGUUUGCUUGGAAUGGGAAGUGGCGUAUAGAGCCCUGCUGGUUGUUUGGUUCCUUUAUUCAAUUGACAAAUCCGGUAUUGGUCAACCACUGUGUGUACGUCCCUUCUCAUUCGAGGCCAGUAGAAUCGGCCAGCAACAAUAGCAAAGGUUUUGUCAUAACCAAAGUGCCCAGCUAAACCCCACCAUGGAGUUCUGUUAUUAGGAAUUCUCGCAAGGAGCCACGUGGGACACAUAAGCGUGAGUUGUAAAAUAGAAAGCCAUCACGCAACACAUAAUCCUUCACUGAUGCAUGUGCAUGAGUGGAGAUUUCAUUCCACACUUUUCCGAAGUCGUCGUCAUUGGCAUAUUCUAUCUUCAGGCUUUCGAAACCUGCUACAUUGGCUGAGAACAUCUGCAAUAGGUGUGGUCUUCUACUUAAGGCAUCGGCUACCUUGUUUUCUGUCCCUGAUUUGUGUCUAAUAACAAAGUCAAAUUGUUGUAAAUAAUCCAUCCAACGAGCAUGCCGCGCAUUAAGUUUGCUUUGGGAAUUUAAGUGCUUCAAGGAAUCAUGGUCUGUAAAGAGAAUGAAUUCUCUAUGGACCAAAUAAGGACGCCAAUGCUUGAGUGUUUGGAUUAAAGCAUAGAAUUCCAUAUCAUAUGCUGAAUAUCGUCGGCAUGUGUCAUUAAGUUUUUCACUGUAGAAGGCAAUAGGAUGGCCCUCUGGCUUAGUACACCCCGAUGCCAACAUGUGAGGCGUCACAAGCCACUUCAAAAUUUUGGGGAAAUCUGGCAGUUUGAGCACUGGUGCUUGACCCAUCUUUUCCUUAAUUUCUGUAAAUGCUUUGGCAACUGCUGUACUCCAGGAAAAUUUCUUUUCUUUCAAGCAUUCAGUGAUUGGGGACAUUAUUGUGCUGAAGCUACAGAUAAAACGCGAUAGAAUGUGGCCAAUCCGUGAAAAUUUGACUUCAGAGAGUUCUGGGGUGUUGGCCACUGCUGGACAGCCUGCACUUUUGCAGGGUCAGCCUCAACACCUUGAUCAGAAACUAUAAAACCCAGGAACUUGGCACUUUUCUUCAUAAAUGAACACUUGUCUUUAUUAAUAUAGAGUUGCUCAGCUCUUAAGACCUUCAGAACCUGCUUGACAUGGCUCAAAUGCUCCUGCACACUUCAGCUAAAAUUAAGAUGUCAUCAAAAUAAACAACAACAAAUUUUCCCAAAAAUGGUUUGAGAACUUGCGUCAUGACACGCAUGAAAGUGCUUGGUGCAUUGGUUAAUCCAAAAGGCAUGACUAGCCACUUGAAUAGACCAUCUUUCAUUUGAAAGCUAUCUUCCAUUCGUCCCCACCCGGAUACGAAUUGGUGGUAGCCACUUCGAAGGUCGAUUUUAGUAAAAACAGAAGAGCCACAUAAUAGAUCCACAUAUCAUCAAGGCGAGGAAUGGGAAAGCGGUACUUUACAGUUAUUUUAUUAAUUCUCGACUAUCGACGCACAUCCUCCAGCUACCAUCUUUUUUGGUGUAAGUAAAACCGGAACAACACAAGGGCUGAGACUUUCUCGGAUGAACCCUUUGUCUAGUAAUUGCUGAAUUUGUCAGCUGAGCUCCUCAUUCUCUAUUGGGCUCAUGCGAUAGUGAGGUAGGUUAGGCAGGGUUGAUCCUGGGAUUAGAUCAAUAACAUGUUGUACUUCCCUCUUUGGUGGUAGUUGAUUUGGAACUUUGGUAGGCAUGAUAUCCUGAAAUUCUUCCAACAGUGUUGAAAAUUCGAUUGGAAUAAUGCCAUCUUUUUGCUUCACCUCACGAUUCACUACUAAUAGCACCAUGUUUUCUUCAUGUAUAACUCGAGAGAAUUGUCGCAUCGUCAAAACUGGGACGACUUCUUUUGUUGUAUCGAAUUUUGAAAUUUGUAGAGGGUCCAACACAAGUUUCUUACCUUUGAAGGUAAAAGAGUAAGUAUUAGCAUACCCAUCAUAGGAGACUCGUCGGUCAUAGAGCCACGGGCGUCCUAAUAGCAUAUGACAAACAGUCAUAGGAAUCACAUCACACUAGGUUUCGUCCAUAUUUUUUUUUUCUAAUGAGAAUUUGACCAAACAACGUUGUGUCACUAAGACAGAAUUGGCUUCAUUAACCCAACUGAUCCGGUAAGGUGUGGGGUGUUUCACAGUCUUCAGUUUCAGCCGUUCGACAGCAGUUUUAGAGAUCAUAUUCAUGCCACUACCAUUAUCAAUAAUGACAUUUAGAGCACGGUUAUUAUGCUCCAGGCGGGUGUGAAAAAUAUUGGUACGCAACCACUCAGGAUUAGUUUGGAGUUUUUUCCUUGUUCCUGUCAACACUCGAUGGAUAACACAGCUGGGUAGGUUUGAUGCACCCAAGUGUUCUUCUUCGUUGUGCUCACUUCCAUCAAGUUCCCUUUCCAUGUCUUCAACAAUGUCCUCUGCUAUUAAGUCCUUUUCACAGAUGAAUGCUAAUUUUUUUGCUCUCGUAGGACACACCACAACAUAGUGUCUGAAACCUUUACACUUAUAACAUUGUGGUCCUUCGUUCAUAGCUUUGGCUUUUCCCUUAUAAUCCCCACUUAUCCCUCCUCUGGUUUGGUAUUUCAGCAAUGAAGGCCUUUGGUUUGCAGAUGCUGGGGUAUAUUCUGCCCUUGAGUCCCAUGAUGUCAUUCUUCUUCCAACCAACGGUCCCAUUUGUUUCUCAAUGCGGAGCGCCAACUGAUAUGCUUCCUCCACAUUGAUUAGGCGUGCAGUCCAUAUUUCUUUACGCAGUUCAUUGCGUAGCCCCGUGCGAUAUCGAGCUAAGGUUUGUUGCUCAAUCUCCACAACCUUACUGCGAACUGUUAAUUCAUGGAAGCGGUCUGUAAAUUGAUCAACGCUUAGUGACCCUUGCCUGAGUUGUAGCAUUUCCUCAAACAUCAUUUGCUCAUAGUCAAUUGGCAAAUAUUUCUCUUUAAGUCGUUCUUUCAUCUCUGCCCAAUUAGACACUGCAGGUCUCUGUGUUCGGCGCAAUUGUUCUUCCACGCUACCCCACCAUGCCCGUGCAUGCCCCUUUAGUUUCAUCCGAACAUAGCGAACCUUCCUAUCCUCUGAAACAGCAAACCAAUCAAAAUAAUCUUCAAUAGCUGUUAACCAAUCUUCAAAAGCAUUGGGUUCUAAUUUUCCAAGAAAAUCUGGCACGUCAACCUUCAUUCUUUUAGUUAGUUCAUCAAGAGGUUGAUAGCCUGCACCAUGACCCGCAUGCCCUCGAUGCGUGUUCUGCCUAUGAUGUCAGACUCGAGGAUCAUGAUUUUUGAAUUCUUGGUUUCCUUCUUCUUCAUCAUAAGCGUCACCAUCGAUGUCACCCAACCUUUCUCUGUGAAUUGUUCUAUGCCUUUGUUGAUUGAAAGGCCCAUUCGUCUCUCGAGUAUAACGCUCCUCCAUUACAUCCAGUCGAUGAAUAAGUUGUUCCAUUAUUGUGGAGAUCUGAUCGACUUGGUAGCAUAACUGGGGCUGGUCUGUUCCUUGGGAGUUUGGAUUUUGGUUGGUUGGGUCCGGGUUGUUGUUUGGGUUUUGGGUGUUUGAGUUUGGGUUGUUUGGGUUCGGGUUGGUUUGGUCUGGGUUGUUUGGGUUCCGGUUGUUUGGGUUUUGGGUGGUUGAAUUUGGGUUGUUUAGGUUCUGGUUGUUUAGGUUGUUUGUCAUGGCGAAUGAAGUGCCGCUGCGGGUUACAUGCAUGGGUGUUAAAUGUAUUGAUGAAUGGAACCGGGUAACCACACAGAAGCUCUGAUACCAAUUUGGUGCAAUUCUGGACUAGCAAAAACUGUUGCAAUUCUUGAGUCAACCUCACGUUAAAAUCAAGAACAGGGGAAGGCACAAAAUCACUCUGUGUUUAUUGGAAUCGCUCCAAUGAAGGCCUUUAUUCAAAGUCGUUAUAUGGCUAAGAAAAUAUCGUGUCUCUCUUCAUUACAUUCAACCUUUAAAUAGUAAUCUAAACAGACUAUUUCCGAUUUUGACUAGGAAACUAAGAAAGCAAUAACAGACUAAAUCUCUAACUCUAACUAGGAAAAUAACAAAAUAAGAAAGUACUAUCAGGAAAGAAAUAGAAUUGCAGCAGCUCUUUAAUGUGUUUGGUCACGGCACUACAGGGCCCCUUCUUCUAGAUUUGCAUCAAUAUGGGUAUAAUAAAAUAUCAGAGGAACAAUUUAUAAAUGCAUUAUUCCUGUCUUUGUCCACGCCCCAAGGACCAUGUACCCAACGACAAGGAUUUACCAGUUAACAAAAAGUGCAAAACUUUUUCCAAAUAAAUACAUAAUCGAAGAUGUUUCCAAGCGAGACAUUUAGAGCAUCCUCUUCAUUUCCACGUACUGCUAAACUGCUCGUGGUAAAGGUAAAGAGUAAAAGAGAGAGGUGACAUUAUAAAGUUUGAUCUUAUUUCCUGUCAUCCUCUGAAUCUGAGUCACUUCCAUUAUAACCUAAAGAAGUCCAAAUAAAAGUCAAGUAAGACAAACGGAGCCAUUCCCUAGAAUACCACUGAGAAGAGAGAGAGCAUGUACCUGGACGUUUAUUGCUUACUUUCCAUACUGAAGCUCGACGUUUUGAAGCUCUACUAAUCCAAGCACUUCCCUUAAACACGAUUUUAUAUAGACUAUUUAGAAUGGCAAAAUCACAACCAAAAAGAUAAAGAGAGGAAAUACAAAACUGACGACUGAGACGACUAGGCAGAUAAAUUAACAAAUGGAAGGCUCAGAAUCGCUGGUAGGAAUUUAGCAUUAGCAAUGAAAUGAAAAGCCUUUAUCCUAUACAUACUAUGAGACUUUCACACUGAAAAUACAUCUCUAAACACUCUUUCGUGUUGAAUAGGAGACAAUGAGAACUUUGGUAUUGUGUAACAGUUAGAAACGAAUGAUUCUAAGAAGAUGUUUUCCAAACCCUAUACUCAAAAAUCAACCACGAAGGAGAUUAAUUUAAAUUGAGAAAAUCUAGCAUAGUUCACAGUUCUAAUUGCCAAUUUAAAACGCAAAUUUCCAUCAGGCUUUCAGUGACCUCCCAAAAAUCAAAAUUGUAUUUACCAUCCCCCAAUCUGACUGCUAACUGCAAAGAGAAGAAUCUAUAAACAACAGCAAUAGGGAAUAUAAAAUAUUAAAGCUCUAACUUUUGUUCAUAUUCCUAAUUUCCUCGGGAAACAAACAAACAUAGAAGCCUCGGAAUACCGUGUAAUCUGCACAACCCAAUUGUUAUGGAAAAGAAAUACCAGCAACCUGAUCCGAAUUGUGUUUUCCCUUGUUUAAAACCAAAGGCAGCAUAACACUCAAAAUCCAAUAUUUUCUCAUUUACAACUCACAAAAACCUUGAAAUGGCAAAUCAAUGGCUGUGUCCUACAACCCCAGAACACAAUACAACGCUAGUAACAAUAAAAUUAAAGUUAUUGAUUUUAGCAUGCUAUGGAGCACACACAAACAAAGGGCUUAAUGUCUGGCAUACUGCAUUUCUUAUCCAAAAUAGAUGAUUUGCGACAGCUUUGGCUCACAAUUAGAGACAGGCAUAGAGAAGAAGUAAGGAAAUAAAAUUUAUUGAAUCUUAAAAUUAUAUAGUCUUAAGUUAUUAAUUUUUUUUUUAAUAAAUUCUCAUCCUCAAUAAAUUUGAACUGCUCAGUCAGUUCAGAAAAAUAAACUAGACACUUAUAUUUAUACCAGUUAUAUAAAAAAACCCUUAUUAAAUGUUCCAUAAGUAAUAGAAUUUAACUAGCAUUGUAAUGCAUAAACUAAAUAAAAAAAAUACAAAUAACUAAGAAAAAUAAUAAAAAAAGUCAAAUAACUUUUAAAUCUAACUUGAGCUUGGUCUCGAUCUUCGUCGGUGCUGGCUUGCCGACAACAUGCUUAUGAGAUCUUAGUUUGAUUUAAUAAUUGGAUAAUAGGUUAUGCCUUUUUUAACUCAUUUUAUUUUAUUAUUAUUUUAUGCUGAAAUUCGUGGAUAUGGUUCCUGAAUGAUCUGCUGGAUAUUCCACUUCAGCUGCCAGCCUGCCACCCUCCAAUAAAUUUAAAACCCUAAUAAUUUAACUAUAGCCCUUCAAGUUGCAGGUAGCUAUUCCUUUGAAGCAUAGAUGUCACUUCUCAUGAAAUAAUUGAGUAGGGCAUGCCAAUAAUGCCAUCGCUCGUAAUUAAAUUUCCUGGUGAAUGACCGCCACCAGAGAUUAUUGCAGCCAAAAUGGAUCUGCGCAAAUCAUUGCAGAACACGUGUUUAGGCUUUCUUUCGGUGACUAAUCGGUGAGAAAUUUCCUCUAACUUUCUGUGAACCUUACUAUUUAUUUUCCAGAGAAAGUUAUGUGAUAAACAGAAGGGGAAAUUUUCAAAUGUCGGUGGAUCUUUCAGUGUUAAAAUGUUCAAACAUAUCUUAGCCAAAACAGGAAAGUAGAAUAUUAGCGAGGGGGACAGGUGAAAAACCAAAAGGAAUCUUAGCCAUGGUCCCUCUCUUCGAACAUAUCUUAGCUACAACAUGACGGCAGGACCUGCAUGCCUGCCGACAAUCAUGGCUUUCAAUUUUGUUGUACCUUUGUGUUUUUGGAAGUUCCAGUUGUUUUGUUAAUAAUUAAUAAAGUACAAAUUUAGAUAUAAUAUAAUCAGGGCGGAACAAGAACAAAAAAAUUAGAGGGGCAAAUUAAAAACCUUCAAUUACUUUUAUUCAAAUCAUAAAUUUAUUCGAUUUUUAUUCAAAUCAUAAAUAUUUACAAGAAAAAGACUGAAAAAAACAUUUCCUUGAAAGGAUCGAGCCCCGCCAGCCUCCCCCUACCUCCCCCACUGAAUAUAAUACAUAAAUUUCUCGAAAUUAAAAUAGUUUCACUCAAUAACCUACGGACUUUUUUUCUUAAAACCUUGUCGAGAACCAGAUGACACACAAACAUUGGCACGUGUCAGUUUGGCGCGUGCGUGGGCAGGUCAUUGUCAAUCACUGCUGGCAAUUUUCUAUGACUUCGUAAGAAGGCAACAAAUUGGUCCAUGCAUCGAUCGCUGAUAGUCUCAUCUCCAAAUAGUGUUGCCAUCUGCUGCUUGGCAUUUUCUCUAUAUGCGGAUCCUUCCUUGUCA
rnacentral:lncRNA from 1 species